AGAUAUGAGAGUAAUUUGGCUGUGACACCUGCCAUCACAUUGAUGUCAGGGUUGAUUCGGCUGAUCUGGCUGGAUAGAUGGGUGUCUCCUGGCUCCCUUUAUGUUCCACGCGCAACCCCCUGAAGCUGCACACUUGGUCAAAGAGAACAACCUUUCCUGAUAGAGGAAGAUUAUUAUUCAGUCAAAGACAUAUAAAAAGUUGCCAGUACCUCCAAAUAAGAAUAGGAAAAGAAAAGAUCAAUGAAGGAGACAAAGAG
rnacentral:snRNA from 1 species